CGAUGCAACGCGAAAAACCUUACCCACCUUUGACAUGGCAGGAACUUACCAGAGAUGGUUUGGUGCUCGAAAGAGAACCUGCACACAGGUGCUGCAUGGCUGUCGUCAGCUCGUGUCGUGAGAUGUUGGGUUAAGUCCCGCAACGAGCGCAACCCUUGCCAUUAGUUGCUACAUUCAGUUGAGCACUCUAAUGGGACUGCCGGUGACAAACCGGAGGAAGGUGGGGAUGACGUCAAGUCCUCAUGGCCCUUAUAGGUGGGGCUACACACGUCAUACAAUGGCUGGUACAAAGGGUUGCCAACCCGCGAGGGGGAGCUAAUCCCAUAAAGCCAGUCGUAGUCCGGAUCGCAGUCUGCAACUCGACUGCGUGAAGUCGGAAUCGCUAGUAAUCGUGGAUCAGAAUGUCACGGUGAAUACGUUCCCGGGUCUUGUACACACCGCCCGUCACACCAUGGGAGCGGGUCUCGCCAGAAGUAGGUAGCCUAACCGCAAGGAGGGCGCUUACCACGGCGGGGUUCGUGACUGGGGUGAAGUCGUAACAAGGUAGCCGUAUCGGAAGG
rnacentral:rRNA from 1 species